rnacentral:lncRNA from 1 species
AAAGGGUAGGGAACUUCCUUCCUGCCCCCUCCGAGUUUUGCCUCUCUCACUGGCAGCAACCCAGCGCUUCCAUUGCUGACCUCUACCGACCUCUACCUGUGGUCCUUCCUCUACUGCAGCAGAGACACUGUUUUCUUCCUUUGUUCUUCCAACCCCAUGGGGAAUAUCACAGAAGUGAAGUGCAAUUCUCAUCAUGUCAUAUCAAGAGCACACACUAACAAACAACAUGACUUAUUGCUGAAUAUUGAACUUGAUCACCUGGCUGAGGUAGUGUUUGCCAGAUUUCUCUGUAAAGGUGAAUAAACUGACACUGGAACAUUCAGGAACUUCUUCAUGGUCAUGGUCACCCAGCUAGAGUGUGGAAGCCAGGCUGUCUGAUUCCAGGAUCUGUGUUCUUAAUCCUAUACAUAAGGAAGCCAUAAUGAGUCAACCACUAUUUUUAAGAUUCACAGAUGUUCGGGUCCAAUUCACCAGAAUGCCAAGUUAUACAGGGUUGUGGAAUCAAAAACUGCAAUUAGUAAUAAAAUGUGAUGCUAUCUAGAAUGUUUUUCAUACAUAUAUAUGCUUCUUGGGACUCUCCCUGCAGGUUAAGAGAAAUUGAGAAACGAUGGAGAAUUUAAGUGUUUUAGAUCCUACAUACAUUAGACUUAAAAAUAGUAACUAUGUACAUGAGUAUUUGUAAACUUAAGAAUGAACAUAACAUGAACCAUGUGGCACCUAUAAAAUGAAAAUAAAAUACCUACAAACCAAAUGAGAGCAAUAAAAGAAGCUUUAAGGACUUUCACUUCAGGGAGUCUGAAUUAGAUGCGCUUCUUCCCAUUCCUCCCUCUAAUUACAACAAGCUUGGACGUUACAUACAGAACAAACAGAAGGAGUCUCUGAAAGAUGAAGAGAAGGCAAGUAAGCUACAGACUUCACAAUGUAAGGAAUAAUAUGGUGGUGAGUUACAUUUGUGAUUUUUUUUUGUCUCAUAUCCCAUAAUAUCUCAUAUCUCAUAAUCAGUUAGAAAGCACAAUGGAAAAGUAUUCCACUGCCAAUGGUGUUAGAGAACUGCUCACAAAUUCAACAGAAAUGCACAGAUACCAAAGCAGAAAGGACAAUAAACAAGAGUCUUCAUGGUCAAAAGAUUAGAAGCUGCAGCUUUCAAUGGGAGGGACAGGUUCUGGACCACACUGCAGUGCUUUUCUGCUUUCUGUGCUUUCCCACUCUAGAGCUGAAGAAGGUAACGACCCCAAAAUGUCAAUAUACGUAGACCAAAAACCAGCCCCAAUAAAAGUCUGCUCUCUCUAGCCAAAGGACUACAGUAGGGCAGCCCAGCAAGACAGAAAACCUUCAGACAACCUACCCCAGCCAAACACUACCAAAAAAAGUAAAGUGAGCCAUCACCCAAUCCACAUCAGUAAAAACUAAGUGGAAAGUCCAGACUUUCACCUCAAGAGGUUGCGACAAGCUACUCCAAUACCCCUGCUGGGAUAGUGUCACAGAAGGCUAAAUAAGGAGCUGUAAUGUUGAUUCCCCUCCAGAAGUAAAGAGUCCGUACCUGCUAUUUUCAGAGAGACCACAUGGAAAGCCUAGAUUUCAACACCUACCCAGCAUUAAUGAGGUAUUCCUUCCCUUCUUUACUCUCUGGUGUCAAAGAAGCUCCAUGCAGAGUCAGAAUGUUUGGCAUUACUCCUCAGUAGGGAGGCCACCCCCACCACGGUGUUAGUGGAGACCAUGUGAGGACCAGGACUUGUACCCUGCCCAGAAGUAAUGAGUAGACCCCCCUCUACAGGAAGGCCAAAGGGCAACCUAAACUUCUACCUCUCUCUGGCAGUAAUAAAGUAGGGCCUCACUUUUCCCUGCUGAGCAAUGUCAAAAAAAAAAGCCAGCUGAAGUAAAAGCUUAUUUCUUUCUUUCUUUAUACAUAUUUUUGGAGACAGGGUCUUAUUCUGUCACCCACGCUGGAGUACAGUGGCCUCAUCAGGUCUCACUGCAGCCUCAACCUCCUGGGCUCAAGCAAUCCUCCCACCUCAGCCUCUUGAGUAGCUGAGACCACAGAUGUGCACCACCACACAUAGCUAACAUUAACAUUUUUUCUAGAGAUGGGGUCUUCCUGUGUUGCCCAGGCUGGUCUGGAACUCCUGGGCUCAAGUGAUCCUCCCACCUUGACCUCCUGGAGGGCUGGGAUUACAGGUAUGAGUCAUCACUCCAGGCUGAAGCUUUAUAUAAUAACCAGAGUCUCAUAUUACAAAAUGUCAAAGAUUCAGUCAAAAGUUACUUGAUAUCAAUGGACAAGAUCUCAAACUAAAUGAAAAAAAGACAAUUAAUAGAUGCUAACACUGAGAUAACAAAGUUGUUAGAAUCAUCUAACAAAGAUUUUAAAGCAGCUAUAAUAAAAGUGCUACUGCAAGUGAUUAUAAACAUGCUUGAGACAAAUGAAAAAGUGCUAUAAAGCUAAGAAAUAAAAUAUAUAAAUAAGAAUCAAAGAGAAAUUAUAGAACUAAAAGAUACCAUAACUGAAAUGCAAAGCUCCGUGGAUGGACUCAACAACAGAAUGGAAAAGACUGAGGAAAGAAGUAGUUUACAGGAAAUUAGAAUAGACUAGAAAAAAUGAACAAGACCCUGUGCUAAAGAGCAAAUAUUUAUGUCAUUGGAUUCCAGGAAAGAGAAAAGAAUGAAAAAGUACUUAAAUAAUGGCUUAAAAACUUCUCACAUUUUGCAAAGAUUUAAACCUACAAUUUGAGAAGCUGGGUAAACCUUAAACAGGAUAAAUCAAGGACACUCACACCAAGAAACAUAGUAAUUAAACUUCUGAUUAAGGAAGAAAAAGAAAAAUCUGGAAAGCAGCAAGAAAAAAAUGACACACUUUCUAUAUGGUAAAAGCAAUUUGAACAACAGAAGAUUUCUCAUCAGAAACUGUGGGGACCAUGAGGAAGUAACAGAUAUUUUUCAAGUGCUGAAAUAAAUCAACUGUCAAUACAAAAUGCUCUACUCAGUGAAAAUAUCUUUCAGGAAUAAAGGGGAAAUCAGGACACGCACAGACUUUUUUUAAAUUAAGAAUUUAUUGUCAGCUUAUCUCCCUAAAAGAAUGGCUAACAUUCUCCAAACACGAAGGAAAUUGAUAAGGAAUCUUGAAAUUUCAGUUAGAAACAAUGAAUAUGGCAAGCAAAAUGUAGGUCAGUACACUAAGUUUAAUUUCUCCUCUUGAAUUUUCUAAAUUAUGACUUAUGAUUGAAGCAAAAAUCAUAACAUUAUCUGAUGUAUAUGUAGAGGAAAGAUUUAAGACAGUGAUGUUAUAAAUGAGGGGAGUAAAGGAACAUGAGAUAACCACUAAUAUGACAUACCAAUAGACUAUGAUAAAUUAUGUGUCUAAUGUGAUUACUAGAAAAACCAGUUAAAAUAUAAAGAUUGACGGAGUGAAUUUAAAAACAUGACACACUAUAUGCUGUUUAUCAUAAACUCACUUUGAAGAUAAUGCCAUCGUCAGGUUGAAAUCAAAAGGAAUAAAAUAGUGUAUUAUGUAAACCAUCAAAAAGAGCAGGAAUGGCCAUAUUAAUAACAUUAAAGUCAGCUUCAGAACUAAGGAAAUUAUCAGAGAGGGACAUUAUAUAAUGAAAUAGUCGAUUUACCAAAAGAACAUAGCAAUCAUAAAUGUGCAUGAAGCAAACAACAAAGCUGGAAAAUAUAUGAAGUGAAACUGAUAGAUCUAAAAGGAGAAACAGAUAAAUCCAUUCAUUAUAGUUGGGGCCUUUAUCACCCCUCACUCAACAAUUGAUAGAACUGGACAGAAAACCAGUAAGAAUAUAAAAGAACUCAACAACCUAAAAAAAGAAGGAAAAAUAGACCCAAUGCCAGCAGAAAGAUGCAAUAACAAAGAGUAGAACUCAAUGAAAUUGAAAACAGAUAAACACUUUAAAGAAUAAAACAAAGAGCUGGUUAUUAGAAAAGAUCAAUUAAUUGAUAAACCUCAAGCAAGACCGUCAAAAAAAAAAAAAAAAGGACUUACCUAUACCAGAGAUGAAAUGGGAUAUCGCUAUCAAUACUGCAAACAUCAAAAGGAUAAGUAGAUACUAUGAACUGUACACACAUUAAUCUGACAAUUUAGACAAAAUAGAUCAUUUCCCUAGAAAACACAAACUACUACAGCUUACCCAAUAUAAAAUAGAUUAUUUGAAUAGCCUUAUAAGUACUAAAAAAAAAUUAAUUAAACUCAUUAUUUAAAAAUUCCUAAAAAGAAAGCCUCCAGAGCCAAAUUGUUUCCUUCAGAAUUCCACCACAUUCAUAAAGAUUUGACAGCAAUUCUAUACAGUCUCUUUGAGAAAAUAGAAGGGGGUAUUUUCUAAUUCAUUUUAAGGAGCUAGUAAAUACCCUGAUACUGAAAUGUAUACUGCAAAUUGAUAAAAUUAUAGACCCCUGCAUAUUAAAUUUCAAAAUAAAAAUGAUAAAAAUACUUGGGUAAUGAAUAACAGCAUAACAAAAAACCACAGACCAAUAUCUCAUGAACAUAGACACAAAAAAUGCUUCACAAUAUGACAUAGAAUUCAGUAAUACAUGAGAAUUAUAUACCACAACCCAGUAAGACUUAAUCCAAGAAUGGAAGACUGGCUCAAUAUUUAAAAAUCAAUCGAUGUAGUGCAAAUAUUAAUAGCUAAUGAAGAAAUGUCAUAAAAUUAAUGCAGAAAAAGGAUUUGACAAAAUUCAACACUCAUUUAUGUAAAAAUGCUCUGAAAAAUAGGAAUUAAAGGACACCUACAAGAAACUUUCAGCUAACAUAAUUCUUAAUGCUGAAUGAUUGAAUGUUUUCUUCCUGAGCUUGAGAAUAAGGUGAGGGUAUCAUCCCUAAUGACGCUUAUUCAACAUAGUGCUCAAAGUUCUAUGAAGUGCAAUUAGGCAAUAAAGGGAAAUAAAAGACAGGUAAAAGAAGAAAUUAAAUUUUAUUUGAAAAAGCUGAUUGUCUACCUAGAAAAUCUCAAGGAAAACACUAUUAAUAUACAGAACAACCUGAAUGAAUCUUUGGAGAAUUACGCUGCAUCAGAAAAAGCCAAUCACAAAAGAUUACAUACUAUGUAAUUCCAUUUGUAUAACAUUUUGAACUGACAAAAGUAUAGAAAUGAACAGAUUAGUGGUUGUUAGGGGUGAGGGGUUAUGGGUCAGAGAUAGGAGUUGGGGAUAUAAAAAGGCAACCUGAGGGAUCCUUAUGGUGAUUGAAACAUUCUGUAUGUUGGUUCUAUCAAUGUCAAUACUCUGGUUGGACUAUGGUUCCACAGUUUUGCAAGAUGUUAUUGAGGAAAACGGCAUAAAUGGUGCCCAGGAUCUCUCUAUUGUUUCUUACUGAUUAUGUAUCUGCAAUGAUUGCAAAAUAAAAAGGUUUAAUUUUUAAAAAGGAUUAAACAUUACAUAGCAUACACUUGAGUAAAAGACAAAAUCUGGCUAAGGAUUAUUUUUGUCCUAAGUAAUAUGUGGAUUUUGUACAACAUAAAUCACAAUCCCCUAAAAUCUAUAUUGUAAAUUGAUAAAAUGUAAAACCUGUGUAUUACAGAAUAAAAGAUGAACAAAAAUUACAAAACACUAAGAAAUACCCUAGUGCCCCAAUGUAUCAGUAGACAAACACAUGGACAGAUAGUUUGCAAAAGGGGAAGUACAUAUGGUGAAUAAACAUUAUGAGAUGUCUAAUAUUGUUAGCUAUCAAUGAAACAUGAAAUAAAAUGAUGACAUUGCACACAUCUCAAGUCUCUGGCAGAGCACAGACCAAACUGAAAUUUCCCACUUCACCUGGAAUUUAACUUGCUUAAUCAUUUUUCCUCAAUCUAAGUAAAUUCGUAACUAUUCUUUCUAAAUACAUUCACUAGAAUAAUCG